AGAGUUUGAUCAUGGCUCAGAGUGAACGCUGGCGGCAGGCCUAAUACAUGCAAGUCGAACGGCAGCACAGCAGAGCUUGCUCUGUGGGUGGCGAGUGGCGGACGGGUGAGGAAUACGUGGGAAUCUGCCCAGUCGUGGGGGAUAACGUAGGGAAACUUACGCUAAUACCGCAUGCGCCCUUCGGGGGAAAGCCGGGGACCUUCGGGCCUGGCGCGAUUGGAUGAGCCCACGUCGGAUUAGCUAGUUGGCGGGGUAAAGGCCCACCAAGGCGACGAUCCGUAGCUGGUCUGAGAGGAUGAUCAGCCACACUGGAACUGAGACACGGUCCAGACUCCUACGGAAGGCAGCAGUAGGGAAUAUUGGACAAUGGGCGCAAGCCUGAUCCAGCCAUGCCGCGUGAGUGAAGAAGGCCCUCGGGUUGUAAAGCUCUUUUGUCCGGAAAGAAAAGCGCCGGGUUAAUACCCUGGUGUCCUGACGGUACCGGAAGAAUAAGCACCGGCUAACUUCGUG
rnacentral:rRNA from 1 species